AGCGUGCGCAGGCGGUUAUGUAAGACAGAUGUGAAAUACCCCGGGCCUCAACCUGGGAACUGCAUUUGUGACUGCAUGGCUAGAGUACGGUAGAGGGGGAUGGAAUUCCGCGUGUAGCAGUGAAAUGCGUAGAUAUGCGGAGGAACACCGAUGGCGAAGGCAAUCCCCUGGACCUGUACUGACGCUCAUGCACGAAAGCGUGGGGAGCAAACAGGAUUAGAUACCCGUGU
rnacentral:rRNA from 1 species